UCUGGCCCUCCUUAUGUAAUAUACCCGGUUCUCCUUGCUCUAGUUGAUUCCAGGAAAAUCCUGCCAGCUCAGCAUCCACAGAGCCACGUGGCUCCCCUGUGAACUUGCUGGCUUCCUGUAGAAUGGCCCAAGGCCUGCAGGACAGCUGCCUCAAAUGCCACCCUGUCAUUGAACCAAAGACUGUUUAUGAAACUCUCCCAGCAUCUCUCUGCCCGGGGCAUUCGUGCCAGCCUUUGAGUGACCUGAAUACGAUUUUGCCCGUCUCCAGGCUCUCCUCCCUUCUCCUCUAACCCUUUUCUUUUUCUGGUAAACACACUCUUCAGAGCUCUGGGGUGCUGAGAUGAUUCCAUGCUCUUCCUUGGGUAUUUUUAGGCACUGAUGGAAUGACCCGCUCCCCUUUCCUGGCAUAUUUUGUUUUGUUUUUGAGUUUACAGAGGCACCUGCAGGCACUGUGUGACCCUUCUGUCUCACCUGUCAUGUGGCCUUAGUCCGUCAGCCCCAUUUUGGACGUGCUGCUGUCAGCCUGGGAGACCUAGAGUGGCAGCCCCUCCUGCAGCCCAGGCAGGUUAGCAUGGGCCCUGGGCUGUGGGCCCCAGGGGAGCUUGGCUCUGGCCGUGCCCAGCCCACAUCUCUCAGAACAGGAAAGGACAGCCGGAGUUCUGGAACUGUAGACUGAAAUACCAAAUCAGGGCACCUGAAAGGAACCUCAUCUUAUCAAAAAGGGAAGAAGAGUUCCAGAAGGAGAAGCUGAGUAACAUCCGGGGAAACGAAGGGUGCAGCCUUGACCCAGUCCUGGAAAAACCAAGCCCUGUCUGCAGGCGGAUGGAUGUUAACACUCUUGCCCUUGGAAAUUCCAGAACAACAGCUUAGGGCGGAGUGAACGUCAGCUGCGCAGUUUGGACCCUCAGAAACAGGCUUUCCUCCUCAGGCACUGUUGCGAUGCUCGUCAGCAGCCGGGGCUCCUUUGCUCUAUCUUCCUUCAUCUUCCUGCCUGUGAUUACGCACACUCAUGAGUGCCCCUCCGCUGCCAGAUG